rnacentral:sRNA from 1 species
CAGAGACAGACCCUCUAAAGAAAAAGGAGAAAAAAGACCUCAUGUGAAUGUGACAAUGGAAGCUAAGCCUUUUAGGAUUGUUCCCUCUUCACACAACACUUCUGGGGUAGGAGGUGAACCAGGAAAGAAGAUUGUCAUUGGACAAGCUAUGGAACCUCAUUUAAUUCUCACAGUCUAAAUCUCGUUUUAUGCAUAAGUAUAAAAGUUCAAUAAAAUCAUGAUAAUUACACUCUCCCGACUUCUACUUUAUAUAACUUGUUCCAUUAAUGAUAUUUCUG